rnacentral:rRNA from 1 species
GACGAGUGGCGGACGGGUGAGUAAUGCUUAGGAAUUUGCCUUUUGGAGGGGGAUAACAGUUGGAAACGACUGCUAAUACCGCAUGAUACCUACGGGUCAAAGGGGGCUUUUAGCUCUCGCCAAGAGAGAAGCCUAAGUGAGAUUAGUUAGUUGGUGGGGUAAUGGCCUACCAAGACGACGAUCUCUAGCUGUUCUGAGAGGAAGAUCAGCCACACUGGGACUGAGACACGGCCCAGACUCCUACGGGAGGCAGCAGUGGGGAAUAUUGCACAAUGGGGGAAACCCUGAUGCAGCCAUGCCGCGUGUGUGAAGAAGGCCUUCGGGUUGUAAAGCACUUUCAGACGUGAGGAAAGGUUGUUGGUUAAUACCCAUCAGCUGUGACGUUAGCGUCAGAAGAAGCACCGGCUAACUCCGUGCCAGCAGCCGCGGUAAUACGGAGGGUGCGAGCGUUAAUCGGAAUUACUGGGCGUAAAGCGCACGCAGGCGGUUGAGUCAGUCAGAUGUGAAAGCCCCGGGCUUAACCUGGGAAUAGCAUUUGAUACUACUCGACUAGAGUUUUGGAGAGGGGAGUGGAAUUCCAGGUGUAGCGGUGAAAUGCGUAGAUAUCUGGAGGAACAUCAGUGGCGAAGGCGACUCCCUGGUCAAAGACUGACGCUCAUGUGCGAAAGUGUGGGUAGCGAACAGGAUUAGAUACCCUGGUAGUCCACACCGUAAACGCUGUCUACUAGCUGUCUGUGUGAUUUAUCACGUGGGUAGCGUAGCUAACGCGCUAAGUAGACCGCCUGGGGAGUACGGCCGCAAGGUUAAAACUCAAAUGAAUUGACGGGGGCCCGCACAAGCGGUGGAGCAUGUGGUUUAAUUCGAUGCAACGCGAAGAACCUUACCAGGACUUGACAUCCAGCGAACUUACUAGAGAUAGUUUGGUGCCUUCGGGA